ACAUUGGCGAGGUCACUGCAGC
rnacentral:misc_RNA from 1 species